rnacentral:rRNA from 1 species
CGGUCCCUAUCCGUCGCGGGCGCAGGAAAUUUGAGAGGAGCUGUCCUUAGUACGAGAGGACCGGGAUGGACGCACCGCUGGUGUACCAGUUGUUCUGCCAAGGGCAUCGCUGGGUAGCUAUGUGCGGACGGGAUAAGUGCUGAAAGCAUCUAAGCAUGAAGCCCCCCUCAAGAUGAGAUUUCCCAUUCCUAUAAGGAAGUAAGAUCCCUGAAAGAUGAUCAGGUUGAUAGGUCUGAGGUGGAAGUGUGGCGACACAUGGAGCUGACAGAUACUAAUCGAUCGAGGACUUAACCUAA